rnacentral:rRNA from 1 species
UACGGAGGGGGCUAGCGUUGUUCGGAAUUACUGGGCGUAAAGCGCGCGUAGGCGGAUCUGCAAGUCGGGGGUGAAAUCCCUCGGCUUAACCGAGGAACUGCCGUCCAAACUGCUUCGCUUGAGACCGGGAGAGGUGAGUGGAAUUCCCAGUGUAGCGGUGAAAUGCGUAGAUAUCAAGUGGAACACCAGUGGCGAAGGCGGGUCUCUGGACAGUUCCUGACACUGAGGCACGAAGGCCAGGGGAGCAAACGGG